rnacentral:rRNA from 1 species
UCCAGACUCCUACGGGAGGCAGCAGUAGGGAAUCUUUCACAAUGGGCGAAAGCCUGAUGGAGCAACGCCGCGUGCAGGAUGAAGGCCUUCGGGUUGUAAACUGCUUUUAUAAGCGAGAAAUAUGAUGGUAACUUAUGAAUAAGGAUCGGCUAACUACGUGCCAGCAGCCGCGGUCAUACGUAGGAUCCGAGCAUUAUCCGGAUUUAUUGGGUUUAAAGGGUGCGCAGGCGGCCUGUUAAGUCAGCGGUAAACGCCGGGGGCUCAACCCCGGCGAGCCGUUGAAACUGGCGGGCUGGAGUUGGAGAGAAGUACGCGGAAUGCGCGGUGUAGCGGUGAAAUGCUUAGAUAUCGCGCAGAACCCCGAUUGCGAAGGCAGCGUGCCGGCUCCACACUGACGCUGAGGCACGAAAGCGUGGGUAUCGAACAGGAUUAGAUACCCUCGUA